AAAAAAAAAAAAAAAAAAAAAAAAAAAAAAAAAGUCUUCCAACUAAAAAUAGCCUAGGGCCAGGUGUUUUGAGUGCAGAAUUCACCAGAUAUUCAAAGAAGAGUUAAUGCUAAUACUCUGUAAAUUAUUCCACAAAAUAGAAAUAAAAGGAACAUAGCCCAAUUAAUUUUAUGAGGACACAGUUUUCCUGAUACCCAAACCACAUGAAUACCCAACAGAGAAAGAGAAUUACAGACCACUUUCCCUUAUAAACUUAGAUACAAAAAUACUCAAUAAAAUACUUGAAAACCAAAUCCAAGAAUAUAUCAAAAAGAUCAUCCACCAUGAUCAAGGAGGCUUCAUCUGAGAGAUGCAGAGAUGGAACAACGUGAAAAUCAAUAGAUGUAAUCCACCAUAUAAACGAACUGAAAGAAAAAAACUACACAUGGUCAUCUCAGUAGAUGGAGAAAAGACCUUUGAAAAAAUCCAACACCUUUUCAUGAUUAAAAUCCUGGAGAGUUUAAAGGUACAGGGGACAUACCCAAAAUAAUAAAGGCAGCUCACAGUGCACCUGUAGCCAACAUUAACUUAAAUGGAGAAAAACUCAAAACAACUCCACUAAAAUCACAAGCAAGACAAGGCUGUCCACUCUCUAUCUAUUCAACAUAGUACUUGAACUCUUAACUACAGCAAUAAGACAACUGAAGGAAAUCAAAGACCAAACCUAAGAAAAAUAGGGAUAGAAGAAGGAGAAUUCCACCUUAAAGGCACAGAAAAUAUAUUCAACAAAGUCAUAGAAGAAAACUUUCCCAACCUAAAGAAGGACAAGCCUAUGAAAGUACAAGAAGCUUACAGAACACCAGGUAGACUGGACCAAAAAAAAAAGUCCCCUUGCCUAAUAAUAGUCAAAUCACUAAACAUACAGAAAAAAAAGAGUAUUAAGAGUUGCAAAGGAAAAAGGCCAAGUAUAAAGGCAGACCUAUCAGAAUUACACUAGAAUUCUCAAUGGAGACUCUGAAAGCUAGAAGGUCCUGGACAGAUGUUCUGCAGACAAUAAGAGACCAUGGGUGCCAGCCCAGACUACUAUACCUAACAAAGCUUUCAAUCAUCAUAGAUGGAGAAAACAAGAUAUUCCAUGACAAAGCCAGAUUUAAACAAUACCUGUCCACAAAACCAGCCCUACAGAAAGUACUACUAAAAAAAAAAUUCUAACCUAAGGAAAUUAGCUGCACCCACAAAAACACAGGCAAUAGAUAACCAACAAACUCCAAAGAAGGGAAACACACAAACGCUACCACCACCACUACCAAAACCCAAAAUAACAGGAAUUAAUAACAAUCACUGGCCAUUAAUAUCUCUUAAUACCAAUUAUCUCAAUUCAUCUAUAAAAAGACAGGCUAACAGAAUGGGUACAGAAACAGGACCCAUUCUUCUGCUGCAUACAAGAAACACACUUCAACCUCAAAGACAGAUAUCACCUCAGAGUAAAAGGUUGGGAAAAGAUUUUCCAAUCAAAUGGACCUAAGAAAUAAGCUGGUAUAGCUAUCCUAAUAUCUAACAAAAUAGACUUCAAACUAAAAUCAGUCAAAAGAGAUGGAGAAGGACAUUUCAUAUUCAUCACAGGAAAAAUCCAUCAAGAUGAAGUCUCAAUUCUGAACAUCUAUGCCCCAAAUAUAAGAGCAGCCACAUUUGUAAAAGAAACAUUACUAAAGCUUAAAUCACACAUCAAACCACACACACUAAUAGUGGGGGACUUCAACACCCCAUUCUCACCACUGGAUAGGUCUGCCAGACAGAAAUGUAACAGAGAAAUAAGGGAACUAAUGGAUGUUAUGACUCAAAUGGACAUCUAUAGAACAUUUCACCCAAACACACACACACACAAAAUACCUUCUUUUCAGCACCUCAUGGGACCUUCUCUAAAAUUAACCACAUCCUUGGUAACAAAGCAAACCUCAACAGAUACAAAAAAAAAUUGGAAUAACCUCCUGUAUGUUAUCAGAUCGCCAUGGCUUAAAGAAUUCAAAACAACACUCAAGGCAGAAAGCCUACAGACUCAUGGAAAUGAACAAUGUUCAACUGAAUCACCACAGGGUCAAGGAAUAAAUAAAGAAAAAAAUUAAAGACUUCCUAGAAUUCAAUGAAAAUGAAUGCACAGCAUAUUCAAGCUUAUGGGAAACUAUGAAAGCAAUGCUAAGAGGAAAGUUUAUAGCACUAAGUGCCUACAUAAAUAAUGUGGAGAAAUCUCACACUAGUGACUUAACAGUACAUCUGAAAGCUCUAGAACAAAAGGAAUCAAACUCACCCUGUAGAUGACAGGAAAUAAUCAAAAUGAGGGCUAAAAUCAAUAAAAUAGAAACAAAGAGAACAAUACAAAGAAUCAAUGAAACAAAGAGUUGUUUUUUUGAGAACAUCAACAAGCCCUUAUCCAAACUAACCAAAAGGCAGAGAGAGAUUAUCCAAAUCAACAAAAUCAGAAAUGAAAACGGGGGCAUAACAGACACUGAAGAAAUCCAGAGAAUCAUUUGAUCAUACUUCAAAAACAUGUACUCUACAAAAUUGGAAAAUGUGAAAGAAAGAAAUGGACAAUUUUCUGGAUAGAAAUUUACCACAUACCAAAAUUAAAUCAAGACAAGAUAAACAAUUUAAAUAUACCUAUAACCUCUAAGGAAAUAGAAUCAGUCAUCGAAAGUCUCCCAACAACAACAAAAAAUUCCCAGUACCAGAUGGUUUCAGCUCAGAAUUCUACCAGAAUUUCAAAGAAAUCUAAUAGCAGUACUCCUCAAGUUGUUCCACACUAUAGAAACAGAAGGAACAUUGCCAAACUCUUUUUAUGAGGCUACAGUUACCCUGAUGCUCAAACCACUCAAAGAAACAACUAAGAAAGAGAAUUACAGACUAAUCACCCUCAUGAACAUUGACACAAAAAAUACUCAAUAAAAUACUGGCAAACUGAAUCCAAGAACACAUCAGAAAAAUCAUCCACCAUGAUCAAGUAGGCUUCAUCCCAGAAAUGCAGGGAUGGUUCAGCAUACAAAAAUCUGUAAAAUGCAAUCCAUCAUAUAGAUAAACUGAAAGAAAAAAAACCACAUGAUCAUCUCAUUAGAUGCUGAAAAAGGCCUUUAACAAAACCCAACCCCUUCAUGAUAAAAGUCUUGGAAAGAUGAGGGAUACAAGGGACACACUGAAAUAUAAUAAAGUCAAUAUACAGCAAGCCAACAGCCAACAUCAAACUUAAUGGAAAAAAAACUCAAAGUGAUUUCACUAAAAUCAGGAACAAGACAAAGCUGUCUACUCUCUCCAUAUCUAUUCAAUAUAAUAUUCAUAGUUCUAGGUAGAGCAAUAGGACAACAAAAAGAGAUCAAGAGGAUACAAAUUGGAAAGGAAGAAGUCAAACUUUUGCUAAUUGCAGAUGAUAUGAUAGUAUAUAUAAAUGACCACAAAAAUUCUAACAGGGAACUCCUACAGAUGAUAAACACCUUCAGUAAUGUGGUGGUAUACAAGAUUAGCUCAAAAAAAUCAGUAGCCCUCCUAUGUACAAAUGAUAAAUGGGCUGAGAAAGAAAUCAGAGAACCAUCAUACAUUACAACAGCCAUAAACAACAUAAAAUACCUUGGGGUAACUCUAAAUAAGCAAGUAAAAGACCUAUAUGACAAGAACUUCAAGUCUUUCAAGAAAGAAAUUGAAGAAGAUAUCAGAAAAUGGAAAGAUCUCCCAUGCUCUUGGAUAGGUAGGAUCAACAUAGUAAAAAUGGCAAUCUUACCAAAAGCAAUCUACAGAUUCAAUGCAAUCCCCAUCAAAAUCCCAACAUAAUUAUUGAAAGAAUAAUACUCAACGGAAGAACAAAAAACCCAGGAUAGCCAAAACAAUCCUGUACCAUAAAAGAACUUUCAGAGGCAUCACCAUCCCUAACUUCAAGCUCUACUGUAGAGCUAUAGUGUAGUCCAGUGGUUUCUCCCAUCCUGCCUGGCCCUGCAGUCCUGCAACCACUAAUAAAAUAAUCAUUUAGAGGCUUAAUAUUAUUUACAAACUAUAUGGUCUAUGGCAAACCCCGUGUUAGUUAGCUCUUAUAUCUUAAAUUAACCCAUUUCUAUUAAUCUAUGUUUUGCUAUGUGUUCUGUGGCUUUACUGGUUUGUUGGCAUCUUGUUUUUCCUUCAGUGAUGGCUGCUGUCUCCCUAGAUUCCACCUCCCCCCUCCCCUCUUUUUUUUCUUUCUUUGGAUUUCCUGUCUCUAAGUUGCCUUGCCAUGGCCAAAGCAGCUUAUUUAUUAACCAAUGGGAGCAACAUAUAUUUACAAUGUACAGAAAAAUAUCCCCUAGCACUAAAGUAUUAAAAAACAGCUUAGUAUUGGCAUUAAAACAGACAUGUGGAUCAAUGGAAAUGAAUUGAAGACCCUGACAUUAAUCCAAACACCUAUGAACAACUGAUUUUUGAAAAAGAAGCUAAAAUUAUGUAAUGAAAAACCAAAAGCAUCUUCAACAAAUGAUGCUGGCAUAACUGGAUGUCAACAUGUAGAAGAUUGCAAAUAGAUCCAUAUCUGUCACCAUGUACAAAACUCAAGUCCAAGAGGAUCAAAGACCUCAAUAUAAAUCCAAAUACACUGAACCUGAUAGAAGAGAAAGUAGAAAGUAGUCUCGAAUGCAUUGGCACAGGAAACUACUUCCUAAAUAAAACACCAGUAGCACAGACACUGAGAACAACAAUUAACACAUGGAACCUCUUGAAACUGAAAAGCUUCUGUAAGGCAAAGGACAUAGUCCACAAGACAAAACAGCAGCCUACAGAAUGGGAAAGGAUCUUCACCAACCCCACAUGUGACAGAGGGCUGAUUUUCAAAAUAUAUAAAAGAACUCAAGAAACUAGACAUCAAAAUACCAAAUAAUCCAAUUAAAAAUGGGGUACAGAGCUAAACAGAGAAUUCUCAACAGAAGAAUCUCAAAUGGCUAAGACAUUUAAGGAAUUGCUCAACAUCCUUAGUCAUCAGGGAAAUGCAAAUCAAAAUGACUCUGAGAUACCAUCUUAUACCUGUCAGAAUGAUUAAGAUCAAAACACUGAUGACAGCUUAUGUUGAAGAGGAUGUAGAGUAAGGGGAACACUCCUACACUGUUGGUGGGAGUGCAAACUUAUACAGCAAUGUUGGAAAUCAGUAUGGCAGUUUCUCAGAAAAUUGAGAAUCAAUCUACCUCAAGACCCAGCAAUACCACUAUUGAGCGUGUACUCAAACGAUGCUCAGUCAUACCACAAGGACACAUGCUCAACCAUGUGCAUAGCAGAAUUAUUUGUAAUAGCCAGAACCUGGAAACAACCUAGAUGCCCCUCACCUGAAGAAUGGAUAAGGAAAAUGUGGUACAUUUACACAAUGGAGUAUUACUCAGUGGUUAAAAAAACAAAAAACAAAAAACAAUGGCAUCAUGAAAUUUGAAGGCAAAUGGAUAGAACUAGAAAGAAUCAUCCUGAGUGAGGUAACUCAGACCCAGAAAGACACACACAGUAUGUACUCACUCUUAAAUGGGUAUUAGAUGCAAAACAAAGGAUAACCAGGCUACAGUCCACAACCCCAGAGAAGCUAGGUAAAAAGGACCCUAAGAGGGACACACAUGGAGAGCCCCAGGAAGGGAAAAUAGUUAAGAUCUCCUGGGUAAACUGGGAGGGAGGUUAGAUGGAAAGGGAUAGUGGAUGGGAACAGGAGUGACUGAGAUGGCCAAGUGGAGGGAGGGACAGAGAGGGAGCACAAUGAAAGAGAUAUCCUGGUAGAGGGAACCAUUAGGGGGUUAGGGAGAAACCUGGUACUGGAGAAAUCCCCAGAAAUUCACAAGGAUGACUCCAGCUAAAACUCCUAGCUAUAAUGGAGAGGGUACCUGAACUUAUCUUCCCUUAUAAUCAGAUUAGUGACUACCCUAAUUGUCACCAUAGAACUACUUCCAGUAACAGAUGGAAGCAGAUGCAGUGAUCCACAACCAAGCACUGGGCUGAGCUCCUCGACUUCAAUUGAAGAGAGGGAGGAGGGAUCUCAGGAGCAAGCGAGGUCAAGAUCAUGAUGUGGAAAACCAUAGAGACAGUGCUUCCAGUGAUCAAUUCCUCCCUGCUCUCUGAAGCUGGACGAGCUCCUGAUGUCCAAUCGUGGUGCAGACUGUAAACCAUCAUAGAAUCCCGACAACUUCAUCGUCCUUCUACGCCAUCUUAAAAGAUCCACAUGGAGUCUUCUCCUGGGCCUGAUGAACAUAAAGAGAAUAAUGUGAAGAGCUACCAUGUGCUCUGCCAGGGCUGUGCUCUGGACCCAGGUGCUGGGGCUCCUGGGGAUUUCAUGUAUAUGUGUAUGAGAAGGAAAUCUGUGGAGGGCUCAAAAGUACAGAGCUUAAGACAGAGUAUCAUAAGGAAACUUUGUGGGAGGGUGGAAGUGUUUCAGUCUUGAUGUGUAUCAUAUCAUGAUCAUGUUAGUUUAUAUGUUUGUUCAGAUUUAAUAAUUGUACACUUAAUAUUUGUGUGUUCUGCUUGUAUUCAGCAAAGUUUUGUUAGUAUAAAAAUAAAGGCUACAGAGAACACUUCUCUCUCAUUCCUACUCUUUGCUUCUCUAGCCUAGAUUUCUCCUAUUUAUCCUCUCUGCCUGCUAGAUCUGCCUAUCAUUUCUAUGCCUAGCUAUUGGCCAUUCAUCCCUUUAUUAGACCAAUCAGGUGCCUUAGGCAGGCAAGGGGAGAUAAAUGCAACACAUCUUUUCAUAAUUAAACAAAUGCUGGGUAAACAAAUGUAACACAUCUUUGCCUAGUUAAAAUAAUAUCCACAAUACCCCAGUCCUUUUUCCAUUACUUUAAUGCAGCUGUAUAGUAUUCUCACAUGCCCCCUCACAUACACAGAUAUACUAAUUGCUUUACUUUUUAACCUGGCUACACUAAAUUUUGUCUUUGGCAUUGAACCCUAAGUCACUGAUAUAGACAUAGACUCUAAUUACAUAUGAUUACUUCCAUUUCUCUCUUCUAAGUAACAUUACAGUUUAAUUUGUUGCAUAUAAAGUUUUUAUUAUAUUAUGGUUUUGUAUUGUAUUAUUUUUUUCAUAUGGAACAUGAGUGAAAAACAUUUUUUUAAUUUUUAAAAGUUUAAUUAAUUACAUAUCCCCCCAUUCUUCCUACACUUCCAAUGUGUGCAUCCUCCUCCCUCCCACCAUCACGGCCUCCUCUUCUUUAACCAUCGUUAUUACAUGUAAAUAUAAAUGAAUAAAAAUACAAUCUGCUGAGUUCACUCAGGACUGCCUGUAUGUAUGUUUCGUGGGCUGACCACUUGGUAUUGGAUAGCAAAUCAGGGGCCUCAUCCCCUGGAAAAACUAAUUCUCCCUCCUUCAGCUGCUGUUAAUUGCUUGUAGCUUCCCACCUGGGGUGGGCCCCAGUAAGAUUUCCCCUUUCUGUGUUGGGAUGUCAACUGUUGCUGGAAUUGUUCAUGUCUUGUUUAGGCAGCCAUGUUGUUGAAAUUUCACGGGUAUAGUGUUUUAGGGUUUCCAUUGUUGUGAUAAAGACUAUGGCCAUAAUCAACUUGGGGAGGAAAGGGUUUAUUUUACUUCCACUUCCACAUCACACUCCACCAUUGAAAGUAGUCAGGGCAGGAACUCCAGGCAGGCACCUGGAGACAGGAACUAAUGCAGAGGUAUGGAGGAGUGUUGCUUACUGGCUUGCUUCCCAUGUAACAAAGACUAUUGAGGUCCAGCCACGUAUAAGCCUUUCCCCAGAGUUCCAGAAGAGAUGCUAUCAGUGGCAAAUUAAUUAAUCUGAGGGACGUUGAAUGAAUCUAUGUACCCCAAGCUCUUUAGUCCAUUCACUUUAUUAUUCCGCGUCAAUUCUCUCUCUACACAGCUUCUUUUGUACUCUCACACUUAGCUCCUUUCUUUCCUGAUUCUCUCUACCAUUUCCUGCUGUUCUCUUUAUGUUCUAUCUUAGUUCUCCCAUCUUAGUCCUACCCCGUCUCAGUUCUCCACCUUAGUUCCUCCCAAGUCUCUGAGGUUUACAGUUAUACACCCAUGCAAUCAGCAAUACUCUGGCCAAGGCAAGGUCACCAGGCUUGAAUUCUUUCAGAAUCAAAAGGAGGGGUGAUACGAUCCACACAAAGAGCAGUAUUUGUCAGCUGUCAUUUGCAAGCCAAAAGGGAAGUGACUAAUGGGGAAUGAAUCAGCUAAGGGCUGAAUUCAGUUAUUAGAUCUAAAAGGGGGAUUUAUGUGCUCAAACUGUAUUCUCAGAAGUGGUUAGUUAAGAUGUUAGGAGUCACUAAGUUUUGAGUGAAAAUAAAACUACUUUAUGUUCCUUUGGCACCACAUCUCCCCAAGGUUAUCUUGGCUGCACCAUUUUCUGGCAGGGGAGGGGAAGUGUACUCAGUAACUAGGCAACCUGUGUCACAGCUAGAUGUACCUGGUAUGUAAAAGCCCUUUUGUUCUGAGUUAAUUGUUAAAGGCAGAUCUUUAGAACUAGAGAUAACACUUGGAAAAAAAGAAGGGUUAAGCUAAUUAGCACAUCCACCUGGCCUGGGCAACCAGUAGUCUCAGGAACUAACAGAUAGUCUGAAUGCUUAUCUAUCUGCAGUCUGUCCUAGAAGGUCUGGGAAGUAUCUCAGAUAAAAUACUUCCAUCCAGAGAAGGUCCUGGCCAGAUGUUUGCUAGUGACGAUAAUUACAAAAAGGUCUGGAAUUAGAGGUCUGGCUGGGUGACUGCUGUCAGCACAGUUGGGGGAUGUUGUCCAAAUACUCCAAUUGUAUAAGGGACAUUGUGCCAAGUGAAUGAUUCAACCACAUUGUUAAAAGUUCUUGGGAAAAGAAUCAAAUGGGAAAGCUACAAUAGCACACAGGAAAUUCAUUGCAGGAAACAGCUUAUAUAUUCAAAAGCAUCACCAAGACUCCUUGAAUCUUGGCUUUAUCCUCUGGAAGAGUUUUUAGCUCUUCCAGGUAAUAGCUUUUGCCAUAGUCAGCUGAAUUCCUAUUUUAUAUUUCUGCAACUUGCAGCACCCAUGACUUGCUCAGAUAGCUUUCUUAUAUAACCUAGGACUUCCAGUCCAGGGGUGACAUCACCCUCAGUGGUCUGGGCCCUCCCACAUAAUUAUUAAUUAAGAAAAUGCCCUACAGACUUGCUUACAGGCAAAUCUCAUGAACGAAUUUUUUCCCAGUUGAAAGUCUCUCUUCCCAAAUGACUCUAACUGUGUCAAGUUGCCAUAAAACUAACCAGGACUUGAAGCUUUCCUGAGAUAGUAAGUUUUUAGUGGCUAUAUUAAAGUGGUAUGUCCCAGUGGCUAAGGUGCUGGGCUUUGGAGUUCAGAAAAAAGCUAGGUUCAGGUCCUUCUGUCCUUGACCUGUGUGGUGGUUUGAAAGAAAAUGACCCCCAAAGGGAAUGGCAUUAUUGGAAGGUGUGAGCUUGUAGGAGUAGGUGUAGUCUUGCUGGAGGAAGUGUGUCACUGUUGAGGCAGGCUUUGAGGUCUCAUAUAUGCUCAAGCCAUGCCCAAUGAGACAGUCUACUUCCUGUUGUCUAUAUAUCAACAUGUGGCAGCUCCUUCUCUAGUAUCAUGUCUGCCUGCAUGUUGCCAUGCUCCCACCAUAAUGAUAAAGGACUAAACCUCUGAAACUGUAAGCUGCCACCUCAAUUAAAUGUUUCCCUUAUAAGAGUUGCUGUGGUCAUGGUGUCUCUUCAUAGCAAUAGAAACCCUAAGACAACCUGGAACAAACUAAUUCAAAUCUAAUUUGGUGUUACCCUUAGAGUUGUUUUAAGGAUUAAGAUAAUGUAUAGAAAGUGUUUGGUAUUGAAUGACCACAGAAGUACCCUAUCAGCACUAGGAACAAUAUUAUUAAUUAUCUCCUUCACUACUGGAGGGUAUGCAAAAAUGCUAGCUUCUGAUCCACCCUCAGUAUUGUCUAUUAGGACCUAAAUUAUUUUCUUGAUGAAAUGAAUACAUGUUGAAUGGUCCUUGUCUGAAACUCUUAGAAUUAGAAGUGCUUCAGACUUCACAUUUUUUAGAUCCUGAAAUAUCUACAUAUCCAUAAUGAGAUAUGUUGGGGAUAAGACCCAAGGCUAAACAGGAAAUCUAUUGUAUGUUUUGAAUAAUUUGUUGUGUGAAACAAAGUUUCAUGGUGUAGAGUUUUCCACUUGUAGUGUGAUAUCUGUGCUCAAAAUAAUGUAGAGUUGGAAUUUUUGAAUUAGGGAUGUUUAGCUUGUGUGUGUGUGUGUGUGUGUGUGUGUGUGUGUGUGUGUGUGUAUGUAGUAUUGGGAGCCAAACAAUAGUAGAGUUAUAUUUUCAAUUCUCAACCUGUGUUCCAUCCUUAUUUUAAUUAUUUAAUCAUAUUACUUGGCUAAUAGGAAGCUGGACAUUUAAUUUUUUUUUUAGCAUUUUAAAUUUUAAAAAUCUUUAAAAUUUCUCCUAGAUUCUCUAUCUACUUCCUAGGUGCCUUUUAUUCACUGUUAAUUUAUGAACAGGUACACGAUAAUUAUGUUAUGGGGCAGGUUAAGCAUAGCUGCCACAUGGGACACAGUAAAGGAAGGAAACAUAUUUUCAUUAUUUCUGACAUGGACAAUAAAUAGAUAAGUGAAAGCCAGUAUGCCCCUGAGGUGGCUUCAUCACCAGCUAUGCACUCACUGCCCAUACAUGUGUUUCCUUCUUUCCAUGGCAGUUUAGUCCAGUCUAGUUGGCCAGAGAGAGCAAGGUUAGCUAACUGGAUGUGGUUCAUUUGAAUACCAGGGCAUAUUUUUGUUGUUAUUAUAUAGCUAUUUGAAUCAGUUAGUCUGUAAAGCACAUUAUUUGUGUAUGGUCAUAGCUGUUGUUGAAUUGAAAAUGUCAUUUGAGAGAUGUGUGAAACAGUGCCUGAAUGUAGAGAUCCCAGGCCAUCAUUGGCAAUACACUGUGACCUAGCUUGGCCACCGGGCAAAUCCUGACACUGCUAUGGACAAGGUGGUGCUGUUACUGGGUCAGCCUCACCUGUGCUGCCUCAUCUGUGCUGCCACUCCUCCUAGCUAGCUCCCCCAGACCCAUGUCUUUAAUAUAACAGUGUUAUAAAUAUUUCAGAACAGCAAGAGAGCGAGACCCAGAAUCUCCCUGCCCAACUCUCUAUUUUACACCGUUUGCAACAACACUCUGCUCAGACCUAGAUGAUUCACCGUGUUUAUGGCUUCUGUUUCAGGCAGUUUCAGUCACUAGUGAUCAUCCUGCCUGGAGCCUAUGUAGCUAGCCUGCCUAGAGUGGGAAUUAGGGGACACCUAUGCAAAUGAGAACUGAGAAGAAGCUGUGCCUUCAGAGACUGACUGAUUAGAACAGCAGUACUGUGGGGAGAUCAGCUAAGUACCUAAUCUAGGUCUAGCUACCGUCUUCCAACAGCCAUCCCUUACCUACCUCUGCAUCAGAACAUCCCAUGACAAAUAGAUGAAAACCUUUUGAAAUCUAUUAACUUAGCAGACCACUAGCUCCCACCAAUCCAAACACUAAGAAUGUCAUAAGAUAGCAUCUUAUAGAAAAGCUCCCCCAAUCCUGCUGUACCUGCCUUUCUGAUGUACCCUUCAAUGUAUUUUAAACAUGCCUUGAUUUAUGACUUUGUUGUGUAAAACUAUAAAACUUCAUGAAACUGCUUCCACAUUGGAACAUGGAACUUGGGGUAACGUGAAUCUGUUCCCAGGCCAUGGUCACUCAAAAUGGCUCCAGAAUAAACUAUCUCUUACUACUACCCUUAA